GGAAACCGGGGCUAAUACCGGAUGCUUGAUUGAACCGCAUGGUUCAAUCAUAAAAGGUGGCUUUUAGCUACCACUUGCAGAUGGACCCGCGGCGCAUUAGCUAGUUGGUGAGGUAACGGCUCACCAAGGCGACGACGCGUAGCCGACCUGAGAGGGUGAUCGGCCACACUGGGACUGAGACACGGCCCAGACUCCUACGGGAGGCAGCAGUAGGGAAUCUUCCGCAAUGGACGAAAGUCUGACGGAGCAACGCCGCGUGAGUGAUGAAGGUUUUCGGAUCGUAAAACUCUGUUGUUAGGGAAGAACAAGUACCGUUCGAAUAGGGCGGUACCUUGACGGUACCUAACCAGAAAGCCACGGCUAACUACGUGCCAGCAGCCGCGGUAAUACGUAGGUGGCAAGCGUUGUCCGGAAUUAUUGGGCGUAAAGCGCGCGCAGGCGGUUUCUUAAGUCUGAUGUGAAAGCCCCCGGCUCAACCGGGGAGGGUCAUUGGAAACUGGGGAACUUGAGUGCAGAAGAGGAGAGUGGAAUUCCACGUGUAGCGGUGAAAUGCGUAGAGAUGUGGAGGAACACCAGUGGCGAAGGCGACUCUCUGGUCUGUAA
rnacentral:rRNA from 1 species